GUGACUCCUAUUCCAAUAGUUGCUGUAACAGUGGGCAUCAGGUGGCAGUACUAUGAAACCCUUGAUGUCUGUUGGUUGCCACUGGCAGAGGGAACUAUUUUCGGAUUUAUUGUGCCAGUUCUUGUCAUUAUGUUGGUGAGGAGAUAUUGUAUUCUAGAUCUUAUCUACGUGUGUGCCGAGAAGUAUAAAUUGUGAUUAUGUGUACAGUCAUGCAUGAUAUGUCGAUAAUUGUUAUAUACUUCUCUUUCACAGAUUAAUUUUGUAUUCAUUGUCAUUGCCUUGAGAGGAAUAGUAGGUAGGAAAGGCUUUCAGUGUGGAAAACAAAAAAGUAGUGCAAGAUACAUUUUACUGGCCACUGUUGUCCUUUUUCCUCUCCUUGGUCUAACUUGGCUAUUUGGUCUCCUCAUGAUCGCUGACCGAUCGCCUGUCUUUAACUGGCUCUUCACAAUACUCAAUUCACUUCAGGUAUGUGUAUCGUGCACAUAAUAAUUACGGCACUC